UUCAUUUUGUCUCUCAAUGCAUUUUACAGCUCUCUCCUUCUCUCUCAAUUUCUUCAUGAUUAGAAGCAACAAGCAACUAAAUCCAUCCAACUCUAUCUCAAUUUAAUCAGCAUGCAAUAGCUGUUCGCAAUUUGAAAUCGGGUUAAAAUUGAAUUUCACAGACUUCACAGAGAUCUGGUCAAAGCUCCCAUGGUGGAAAGUGCAAUCACAAUACCAUCCUCAGUAAAAUCAACAAUUUAUUGAUUAUUAUUAUGUGCUAACAGUUUGAUGAGAUGCUGAUCGAAUGAGCCGCUUCAAAGCCUUCCUGUUGCUGUUUCUCGCACUGUUCUCGGUCACUGCAUCGAUAAAAGUAGAAGAGCUGAAUGAAGAGUUCACGGAGGCGUUGCUGCUGAGGCCUCUGCCCGAUCGAAAAGUUUUGGCUCAUUUCCACUUCCGAAGCAGUGCGCCGCCGUCUCAAAGAUAUGGACGCCACCACCACAUCUUCCCCAAAUCAAUUCACCAGCUGGUUCAUAAAUUCCAAGUUCGGGAGAUGGAGCUGUCCUUCACGCAAGGACGUUGGAAUUACGAAAGAUGGGGAGGAUUUGACCCGAUUUCGAGCUGCAAUGCAAAGCCACCUGGAGUAGAACUAUGGGCUGAGUUUGAUGUUCCUCAAAAUCAAGUUGAUGAUUCCUGGAAGAAUCUUGCACACGCUCUUUCAGGGCUCUUCUGCGCGUCAAUCAAUUUCUUGGAGCGUUCGACUAGCUACUCUGCACCUCACUGGAGCUUUGGGUCGGCUUCAGGCAAAUUACGAUAUGGCACAUUGCCUCGUGAAGCUGUUUGCACAGAGAAUCUCACACCGUGGUUGAAGUUGCUUCCCUGUAGAGACAAAGCUGGGCUUUCUUCGUUGAUGGACCGGCCUUCAACAUACCAGGGGUAUUACCAUUCCCAGAGGUUGCAUUUGAAAUCAGAUGAAUCUGAUGCAUCUGAGACGAGUACAGGGAUAGUGCUUGAACAAACCCUUACGGUUGUUCUUCGACCAGAGACCUUUUCUGAAAAAGCGCUGCAACCAAACUGGUCCUUGAGCUCAUUAUUUGGCAGGUCAGUUAGUGGGAAAUGCUCUCUGUCUAGUUCUAGUAAUGUGUAUGUUCAAUUUGAACAGAAUUUAGUGUCUGCGGGGGAUAAAUUAAGGGAAGUUAGUGAAGCUUCGGAGAAUGCUAUUUCUGUUGGUGAGGGAUUCCAAGAUAAUCCUCUAUUUGAAUUAUCACACCCUCCAAAAAGGGUUAUAAGAGAAUCAGGGAACUUUCAGAAAGCUGGCUCUAUCCUUUAUGAGUUUUCAGUCGAGGAUUCCAAUGAAUUCAAGCCAUUUGAUUUGAGAUUGAACUGGAAGGCGCCUGUGGCCUGGUCAAGCCCGCAGGCACCCUUACAGGCUAGCCGGUUUUUAUUAGGAAGUGGGAACGAAAGGGGAGCUAUCGCUAUCUCAAUGAAAUCUACUAGGAGCACCAACAAUGUAGAAGGAACUGGUGGUUAUGAUGAGAAUGAAUGUUGGCUCAGAGUGGGCAUUUUCCAAAUGGUACCUUGGUAUGUCAAGGUCUACUAUCAUACAUUGAAAUUGUUUUUAGAUGGAGAACCUCAAUCUUCUACGGAAAACAUAGAGAAAAUACUUGUUUCUCCUUCUGAAGACAAGGUGUCCACUGGAGUGAUGGAACUGAUCUUGAGAUUACCAUGUAGUGUUCGUACAGCGGCAUUGACUUUGGAGUUUGAUAAGGGGUUUCUUCAUAUUGAUGAAUAUCCUCCAGAUGCAAAUCAAGGUUUUGACAUUCCAUCAGCAGUGAUUCUCUUUGCUGAUUUCGUAGCAAACAUGAGUUUGCAUGAAAAUUCCUUAAAACAAGUACCUAUAUUGUCCAAGUUACAGGAAGAAGUUCCUGUUAUCUCAUACACAGAAGUACUCCUUGUGCCUUUGACAACUCCAGAUUUUAGCAUGCCUUACAAUGUGAUAACAAUCACAUGCACUGUUUUCGCUUUAUACUUUGGAUCCAUUCUGAAUGCACUAAGAAGGCGCAUUAGUGAGGAAGAAAAGCUUCUAAGCAGAAAAGGUGCAAGAAAGGCAAGCCCGUUAACGCUGAUGAUAUCCAAACUCACUGCUAAGUUGCGAGGAAAGCCAUGGGAACCUCCGGAACCAUCAGACUUAGCUGGGAGGUCCUCCUCGAAGUAUAAGCUAGUGGCAAAAGUCGCGUUGGUAGCCGGUGUAGCUGCUGCUUGGCAGUUGUAUUUUCAAUGACAGCAGCAGCAAGCAACCUCCCAUGUAUGAUUAUGUAUCAUGAGGAAGAGAAAUUAGCUAGAUUCUUGCAGGCCUGCCAUGUAAGAAACGAAAAAAAUACGAGACUGAAACACAAGCCACAAUUGGUUGAGAUUAGCUGCAAUGGUCAUGCUGUUGUUGCCUUUUACUAUCUCUAAAGCAGCCUAUUUCUCUUUCUCUGGUGUUAUCCCUCACAUUUGCAGCAUCUUCUAUUUGGUGUGAUCCUAUUCAAGAAAAAAAAGAAGGAAAUUCCACAUAACUUAAUCCACCAGAAAUCUUGUGUCAAAAAGCAGAUGGAGAGUUUGAGGUAUACUUUGGAGCCAAUCUUGGAGAGCUUGCCGUCGACGAGGAGAGCAGUGGAGGUGGUGGCACCGGUGGGCAAGCCGCGGGCGGAGAAGAAGUGGCCCUCUGCCGAUGAAACUGGCCACUCAUAUCGCGCCAAGUGGCCAAAAAAAGUUGUUUUAAAAAUCAAGAUUUCCACUUAAUGGUUUUUGUGGCCUGACUAUUAUGGAUAUACGAAAUAUUGGUCAGAAGCGUUCAUGUGAUUCAUUUGUGUUGUCACUCACCUUAAUAACAAUAUUACGGUAAUUACUUGUUA